AAGAAAAUCUUAGAAGAUUCUCUAAAAGAUUCUCCACAAACACACAACAUUCCAACCGCAUCUGCACUGCCAGCUCAUCGGACGGUAAUUAAAGCUAAUUGUUGUUUUGCUUUUCACUUUCCGGAACACCGGUGACAUUAAGCACGAACUGGCUAAAUUAUCGUCCCCCCAACGCUAGCUGUCAAUCGUCUGCAUUUGACUAAUUGUCAUGGGACUAGGAACUGGGCACUAUCGAGCCCCCCCCCUUUGCCGGGCGAGACCUGUUCAAACCGCUUCACCCACCGGCGCAAAGCCGCAACCGGAUCGAACCGACUUCCUGCUGCUGCUGCUGCUGCUGUUGAUGGGCCGUCCACCUCUUUUAGUGCACAAUUCGAAUUGCGCAACUUAUUUACCGCAUGGGCAUGGGGGGACAUUUGCACUUGCACCGGUGGUAUAGCAAGCCAUAGGGUGAGGAGAAUGGGAUGGUAGGACCAGAUCAAACAAAACAGUUUCUUACAUAGUUUCACGAUCGUGAUAGUAAGAGGGGAUCUUACUGCCUCCGCUACCAUCCCGGUAAAGGGACGGCAAACAGUUCCCAGCGUUCUAAUGUUUAUUUAUACAAUUCCUUUACCUUUCCCGGUGUAUCGCACCAGCACCGUGUUCCCUUUGCGCUCCGGUACACUCCAGUGCGAACCGGUUUUUGCAUUGAUUUGAUGUAUGUGUAUGUGCUUCUCUCCAGUCGUCAACGAACGCCAACCAAGUGCCCACCCCUCCCUUGCUCGUUCCGCGAACGAUAAUUCGUGAUGAGUUUAUUAAGGGACUUUGGGACUUUUAAUAGCUACUAGCAGAAGUGCAUUCAAGCACACAAAUGCACACUUCAGCAACACUAUCAAGCACGUUAUCAGGCUGGAUUAAGCGUGGUAAAAAGUUGCUGACACACAGGUAGUUUGGCUCCGGCAAUGGCAUGGUGCAGCAGUAAGGACGUACUUGACUGCCGAUGGGCGAGAUAAGGAGACAAGGCAAAGGGAACGGUAAUCUUGAGCACAAACAGACGAACACAACGCUGAUCUGAUCAGCAAAUAAUCCCCGCAAGCAAGCAGGCAGGCAAGCACGGGGGAGAAAAUUGCGCCCGUCACGAUCACUUCCAUCGGGGUUGUUAUUGCUGUUGAAUACAACAUACAAUGGCAGCAUUUGUAAACGCAGCGCAUCGUCUUCUUUGCCUCGGUCAUUGGGCGGUCGUUUGCCCGCGGUGGUAUCCCAGUAGUGCAGUCCUCCCUCCCGGUGGCAGAAGCGCCACAGAACACCCCUCAUACGUGAAGGAAUUGCGCAGCAAAAUUUUCGGUUCAUUCGCUCGUUUCCCAGUUUGUUUCCGCGCUAGCGCCCUGGGAAUGGGGAAAGGGCACACCGCUACGUCACAUCGCACCACACACAUACAUACACGCAAAAAGGUCCUCAAAGAAAAACGCUCAUGUCAUCGCGAUUAUAUCGUGCUGUGCGUGCACCGGCAUGUGCCAAGUGGCGAUGCCUUCAUAAGUGGAAAUAGCUCGUCGCCUUCGCGCGAUAGUUAUUAUGUUGUUGAUUUUGAUGUCUUCACUUCACAUUAGAUAAUUUAUCGUGCUUCACGUAUUCCAAUAAGAAGUGGAAAAAUGAUUUUUAAAGGUUGCGAAUUUCAAAGCAACACCGUCGGUGUAAAUAAGCGUCACCCGGGCGAUGAAACUAUUGCUAGCGCAAUUGUAUUUGUAUAUUUACCGUCCCGUUCCUCGACCUCUGCGUCCGCCUGCUUCAAUGGUAAAUCAUUCUGUUUACACAACGACGAGCGACCGACCGACCGAUCUCGUGCCUGCGGGUCAGGAUGGCAACGUGCUUGACUUGGCAUGCUGGACGAUAGUGUGUCAGCAGGAUCGGAAGCAGGCACGACGUCUUGCUGACCAAUUUGCUAAUAAAAACGAAAUCAAGUGUG